AGAUUAAGCCAUGCAUGUCUAAGUACAAGCCUCACUAAGGUGAAACCGCGAAUGGCUCAUUAAAUCACACCUAAUCUACUGGAAAGUAAACAGUUACUUGGAUACCUGAGGUAAUUCUUCAGCUAAUACAUGCACACAAGCCUCGAACUUACGUGAGAGGCGCUUUUAUUAGAUCAAAACCAGUCAGCUUCGGCUGUCCCUUUGGUGACUCUGAAUAACUUUGGGCUGAUCGCAUGGCCUCGAGCCGGCGACAUUUCCUUCGAAGGUGUGCCCUAUCAACUGUCGACUGUGGCAUAGACGCCCACAGUGGUUUUGACGGGUAACGGGGAAUCAGGGUUCGAUUCCGGAGAGGGAGCCUUAAAAACGGCUACCACAUCUAAGGAAGGCAGCAGGCACGCAAAUUACCCAAUGACCGAAGGUCGAGGUAGUGACGAAAAAUAACGAUACUGGACUCAUCCGAGGCCCAGUAAUCGGAAUGAGUACACUUUAAAACCGUCCCCGAGGAUCUAUUGGAGGGCAAGUCUGGUGCCAGCAGCCGCGGUAAUUCCAGCUCCAAUAGCGUAUAUUAAAGUUGUUGUGGUUAAAAAGCUCGUAGUUGGAUCUCGGCAGGUAGAGGGCGGUAUGCUUGCUUGCAUUACUACCCUAUUACCCGUAGUUUUGCCAAGG
rnacentral:rRNA from 1 species